CCAUUUCCUUCCCUUAUUUCCCUGCAUUUCCCUCUGUGCUCAUUGUCACAGGGACAUCGCCCUGAGCUGCACAGUUGGAGGGUGAGCGUGUCCCUGCUGAUCUGAGCUCUGCAGGCCACAGGAACCCACCUCUUCCUGAAGCAUCUCCAGGGCCCGGGUGGCACUGUCCAUGGGACAUCGCCCUGAGCUGCACAGUGAGAGGGUGAGCGUGUCCCUGCUGAUCUGAGCUCUGCAGGCCACAGGGACCCACGUCUUCCUGAAGCAGCUCCAAGGCCCGGGUGGCACUGUCCAUGGCUGCUGACAUGACAACCCUGUGACAGGC